rnacentral:rRNA from 1 species
UACGAAGGGGGCUAGCGUUGUUCGGAUUUACUGGGCGUAAAGCGCACGUAGGCGGAUCGUUAAGUCGGGGGUGAAAUCCUGGAGCUCAACUCCAGAACUGCCUUCGAUACUGGCGAUCUUGAGUCCGGAAGAGGUGAGUGGAAUUCCUGGUGUAGCGGUGAAAUGCGCAGAUAUCAGGAGGAACACCAAUGGCGAAGGCAGCUCGCUGGGACGGUACUGACGCUGAGACGCGAAAGCGUGGGGAGCAAACAGG